rnacentral:rRNA from 1 species
UUAGUAACGGCGAGUGAAGCGGCAACAGCUCAAAUUUGAAAUCUGGCCCUCGGGUCCGAAUUGUAAUUUGUAGAGGAUGAUUUUGGUGCGGUAUCUUCCGAGUUCCUUGGAACAGGACGCCUUAGAGGGUGAGAGCCCCGUACGGUUGAAUGCCUAGCCUCUGUAAAUCUCCUUCGACGAGUCGAGUAGUUUGGGAAUGCUGCUCUAAAUGGGAGGUAAAUUUCUUCUAAAGCUAAAUAUUGGCCAGAGACCGAUAGCGCACAAGUAGAGUGAUCGAAAGAUGAAAAGCACUUUGAAAAGAGGGUUAAAUAGCACGUGAAAUUGUUGAAAGGGAAGGAUUUGUGACCAGACUUUUUCUGGGCGGAUCAUCCGGGGUUCUCUCCGGUGCACUUUGCCCAGUAAAGGCCAGCAUCGAUUUUCGGCGGCGGAUAAAAGCAGUGGGAAUGUGGCUCCCUACGGGGAGUGUUAUAUCCCAUUGUAUAAUACGCUGCUGGGGAUCGAGGUACGCGCUUCUGCAAGGAUGCUGGCGUAAUGGUUAUCAAUCACCCGUCUUGAAACACGGACCAAGGAGUCGAACAUUUAUGCGAGUGUUUGGGUGUUAAACCCUCACGCGUAAUGAAAGUGAACGGAGGUGAGAGCCCGUACGGGUGCAUCAUCGACCGAUCCUGAAGUUUUCGGAUGGAUUUGAGUAAGAGCAUAACUGUUCGGACCCGAAAGAUGGUGAACUAUGCGUGGAUAGGGUGAAGCCAGAGGAAACUCUGGUGGAGGCUCGCAGCGGUUCUGACGUGCAAAUCGAUCGUCAAAUCUGCGCAU